rnacentral:rRNA from 1 species
AUUGAACGCUGGCGGCAGGCCUAACACAUGCAAGUCGAGCGAGCGGCGGACGGGUGAGUAAUGUAUGGGGAUCUGCCUGAUGGAGGGGGAUAACUACUGGAAACGGUGGCUAAUACCGCAUACUAUCAGAUGAGCCCACAUGGGAUUAGCUAGUAGGUGGGGUAAAGGCUCACCUAGGCGACGAUCCCUAGCUGGUCUGAGAGGAUGAUCAGCCACACUGGAACUGAGACACGGCCCAGACUCCUACGGGAGGCAGCAGUGGGGAAUAUUGCACAAUGGGCGCAAGCCUGAUGCAGCCAUGCCGCGUGUGUGAAGAAGGCCUUCGGGUUGUAAAGUACUUUCAGCGGGGAGGCGUUACCCGCAGAAGAAGCACCGGCUAACUCCGUGCCAGCAGCCGCGGUAAUAC